rfam:Winogradskyella sp. J14-2, complete genome.
GGGGUCGACUGGUUUUGACAGCGAGAUUAAUUAAAUGGUAAGCACGUCGUGUAAUGGUUUUGAUACACGUAAAAGGCUAGACCAAAUUUUAAACGGCGAGAAUAACUACGCUUUAGCUGCUUAAUCUGAAUUAUAGUAAGAUUUUAAGCUACAUUCCUACAAGGUAGGAAGGCUAAAUGUCUCCAGAAAGCCUUGGUUAAUGGCGUUCUUUUUAGAGGCAUCGUAAAAAUUGACCAAGAUUGGGUAGUGCUUUGAUGCCCUUUUGAGAUUAAAAAGCUAAGUGUAAAGUAGGCUGUCUUUAGCCAGCUUUGCAUCGAAAAAAUAAGAAAAGACUAAACGUGUAGAAAGCCCUUUGGUUACUUGUUUGGACGAGAGUUCGAUUCUCUCCGACUCCACAU